UUGUGAAAGUUUGCGGCUCAACCGUAAAAUUGCAGUUGAUACUGUCAGUCUUGAGUACAGUAGAGGUGGGCGGAAUUCGUGGUGUAGCGGUGAAAUGCUUAGAUAUCACGAAGAACUCCGAUUGCGAAGGCAGCUCACUGGACUGCAACUGACACUGAUGCUCGAAAGUGUGGGUAUCAAACAGGAUUAGAUACCCUGGUAGUCCACACAGUAAACGAUGAAUACUCGCUGUUUGCGAUAUACAGUAAGCGGCCAAGCGAAAGCAUUAAGUAUUCCACCUGGGGAGUACGCCGGCGACGGUGAAACUCAAAGGAAUUGACGGGGGCCCGCACAAGCGGAGGAACAUGUGGUUUAAUUCGAUGAUACGCGAGGAACCUUACCCGGGCUUAAAUUGCAGUGGAAUGAUGUGGAAACAUGUCAGUGAGCAAUCACCGCUGUGAAGGUGCUGCAUGGUUGUCGUCAGCUCGUGCCGUGAGGUGUCGGCUUAAGUGCCAUAACGAGCGCAACCCUUAUCUUUAGUUACUAACAGGUCAUGCUGAGGACUCUAGAGAGACUGCCGUCGUAAGAUGUGAGGAAGGUGGGGAUGACGUCAAAUCAGCACGGCCCUUACGUCCGGGGCUACACACGUGUUACAAUGGGGGGUACAGAAGGCAGCUAGCGGGUGACCGUAUGCUAAUCCCAAAAUCCUCUCUCAGUUCGGAUCGAAGUCUGCAACCCGACUUCGUGAAGCUGGAUUCGCUAGUAAUCGCGCAUCAGCCACGGCGCGGUGAAUACGUUCCCGGGCCUUGUACACACCGCCCGUCAAGCCAUGGGAGCCGGGGGUACCUGAAGUACGUAACCGCAAGGAUCGUCCUAGGGUAAAACUGGU
rnacentral:rRNA from 1 species